GACGACGCUGGGCGGCGUGCCUAACACAUGCAAGUCGAGCGGAGUCGAUCGACGGAAGCCUUCGGGCGGAAGAUGGUUGACUUAGCGGCGGAUGGGUGAGUAACGCGUGGGCAACCUGCCUCGAAGACCGGGAUAACAGCCCGAAAGGGCUGCUAAUACCGGAUGUGGUCAAGGAUCCGCAUGGAUUUUGAUUAAAGGGGAAACCCGUUUCGAGAUGGGCCCGCGUCCUAUCAGCUAGUUGGUGAGGUAAAAGCUCACCAAGGCGACGACGGGUAGCCGGCCUGAGAGGGUGACCGGCCACACUGGAACUGAGACACGGUCCAGACUCCUACGGGGGGCAGCAGUGGGGAAUCUUCCACAAUGGGCGAAAGCCUGAUGGAGCGACGCCGCGUGAGCGAAGAAGGCCUUCGGGUUGUAAAGCUCUGUCUGGAGGGACGAAGGAAGUGACGGUACCUCCGGAGGAAGCCACGGCUAACUACGUG
rnacentral:rRNA from 1 species